UACGUAGGGGGCAAGCGUUAUCCGGAUUUACUGGGUGUAAAGGGAGCGUAGGCGGCUUAGUAAGUCAGAAGUGAAAGCCCGCAGCUCAACUGCGGGACUGCUUUUGAAACUGCCAAGCUAGAGUACAGGAGAGGAAAGCGGAAUUCCUAGUGUAGCGGUGAAAUGCGUAGAUAUUAGGAAGAACACCAGUGGCGAAGGCGGCUUUCUGGACUGAAACUGACGCUGAGGCACGAAAGCGUGGGGAGCGAACAGG
rnacentral:rRNA from 1 species